UAAGGAAUAUUGGGCAAUGGAGGCAACUCUGACCCAGCCAUCCCGCGUGAAGGAUUAAGGCCCUAUGGGUUGUAAACUUCUUUUGUUUGGGAAGAAAUCAGGACAUUCAUGUGCUGUUGACGGUACCUUACGAAUAAGCACCGGCUAACUCCGUGCCAGCAGCCGCGGUAAUACGGAGGGUGCAAGCGUUAUCCGGAAUCACUGGGUUUAAAGGGUGCGUAGGCGGUUUGAUAAGUCAGAGGUGAAAGCUAGCAGCUUAACUGUUAAAUUGCCUUUGAUACUGUCAGACUUGAAUCAAGUUGAGGUAGGCGGAAUGUGACAUGUAGCGGUGAAAUGCAUAGAUAUGUCAUAGAACACCAAUUGCGUAGGCAGCUUGCUGGGCUUGAAUUGACGCUGAGGCACGAAAGCGUGGGGAUCAAACAGGAUUAGAUACCCUGGUAGUCCACGCCCUAAACGAUGUUAACUCGAUAUUUAUUCUUCGGAGUGAGUGUCCAAGCGAAAGCGUUAAGUUAACCACCUGGGGAGUACGUUCGCAAGAAUG
rnacentral:rRNA from 1 species